rnacentral:rRNA from 1 species
UACGAAGGUGGCGAAUGUUGUUCGGAUUUACUGGGCGUAAAGCGUCCGCAGGUGGUUGAUUACGUCAGGUGUGAAAGCCCCCGCGCUCAACGUGGGAAUUGCACUUGAAACGGAUCGACUUGAAGGUGAGAGAGGUAGGCAGAAUUCCCGGUGUAGAGGUGAAAUUCGUAGAUAUCGGGAGGAAUACCCAUGGCGAACGGCAGCUUACUGGCUCAUUCUUGACACUCAUGGACGACAGCGUGGGGAGCAAACAGG